rnacentral:rRNA from 1 species
GACGAACGCUGGCGGCGUGCCUAACACAUGCAAGUUGCGCGAGGGCAGCCUUCGGGCUGACCCGAGCGGCGGACGGGUGAGUAACACGUGAGUAAUCUGUCUCUGUGCGGGGGACAACCCGGGGAAACUCGGGCUAAUACCGCAUGGGCGGCACCCAGGAUCUGGGAGCCGGAAAAGGUGGCCUCUUUACAAUGCUGCCGUGCAGAGAGGAACUCGCGGGCUAUCAGCAGUUGGUAGGGUUACGGCCUACCAAGGCUACGACGGCUACGGGGUCUGAGAGGACGACCCCGCACAUUGGAACUGAGACACGGUCCAGACUCCUACGGGAGGCAGCAGUGGGGAAUAUUGGGCAAUGGCCGAAAGGCUGACCCAGCGACGCCGCGUGCGGGAGGAAGCCCUU